AAAAGAGAGCACGGUAGAUUAAAAAUAGGAUGCCCUUUAGGUUAAAAAACUGACUUUCCACCAUUUAAUGGAGACAUGUUACGCAAUAUUAACAGAUUGUCUCCACUGGUACCCAGUGAUGUCCGACUUUCUUCAUGUCACCUCUAGUAUAGGACCAUUCACACUUUUAAAUAAACAAAUUUAUAUCAAAAGAAAUAAAAAUCUUCAGAUCUCCUACCUAACUACCUGUUAGCAUUAAAAAUUGAAGUUUUACUUCAUUUUUUUUAUUUGAAAUUGUUUUUGUAAAGAAAUAUCCUCAGUAAAGUGUCUGCCACUGGUGCUUUUAAUUAAGCAAAAAAUAUUUUAUUUUUUUAAUUAUUUACAAUUAUAGUUAU